CUGCAGAACCUUCUUAGCAGCAGCUUGCUGGCUUUUCUUGGCCAUACCUUGUCUCAGGGUUCCUUGUUCAGGCAGUAGUCCAGAUUGUAUGUAGUCUAAACUGGUGUUUGGCAAAAUGGCCUAUGGGUGAGUACAGUCUGAGGCUUGUUUUUGUAAUGCUUAGGCACUGAGAAUGGUUACUUUUUAAUUAAAAUACUUUUUUUUUUAAAUGUAUAAUCUUUACUUAGCUCUUGUAAACCUUUUUAUUUUUUAGAGAGGGACACCUGGGUGGCUCAGUGGUUGAGCAUCUGCCUUCUGCCCAGGGUGUGAUCCCAGUCUGGGGAUGGAGUCCCAUAUCGGGCUCCCUUGCAAGGAGCCUGCUUCUCCCUCUGCCUGUGUGUCUGCCUCUCUCUGUGUCUCUCACGGAUAAAUAAAUAAAAUGUUUUUAAAAAAUCAGAUGCUUAACUGACUGAGCCACCCAGGCAUCCCCAAGAAUGGUUUUUACAUUUUAACUUUAUUUUUUAAAAUUUAUGCAUUUAAGAGAGAGAAAGCACACAAAGGGAGAGGGAGAAACAGACUCCUCACUGAGCAAGAAGUCCGAUGUGGGGCUCGAUCCCAGGACCCUGGGAUCAUGACCAGAGCCAAAGGCAGCCGCUUAACUGAGCCACCCAGAUACCCCUAUUGGUUUGUUUUAAAGUAGGCACCACACCCAAUAUGGGCUUGGUUUUUUUACAUUUUAUAAGUACUUCUAAGAAUAUGUGGUUGACUUCAUGUGGCUCCCAGGGCCUACAGUGUAUACUAACUGGCCCUCUGUGGAAAAAGUUUACUAAUUCAUGGUCUAAAUCAGUGAUUUCACAACAGUGGCUGAAAAUUAGAAUCAUCUGGGAGAACUUUUAAAACUUUUGAUACCCAAAGGCCCAUCCCAGACCAGCUGAGUCAGACCCUGGUGUUGUCUGGUGGGGCCUGGAUAUUAGGAUUUUUAAUUUUUUAAGUGCCUGGGUGAUUCUGGUGAGCAGCUGAAGUUGAAAACCACUAAUAUAAAGAGUGUUUGAAAUUAAUUGAAUUGGGGUGCCUUUGUGGUUCAGUCAGUUGAUCUCGUCUGACUCUUGGUUUCUGCUCAGGUCAUGAUCACAUGGGUCAUGGGAUCCAGCCCUGUGUCUGCUCUGCUGUGGGAGUCUGUUGGAGAUUCUCUCCCUCUGCUCUCAGGCAUGCGGUAUCUCUAAAAAAUAUAAAUCUUUUUUUAAAAAAGAAAAAAAAAAGAUAUUUUUUCAUUCCUCUCAUGCUUUCAUUUUCAAAUAUACUUGUAAAUCUAAUAGUAUAAAGUGAAAAUUAAAUUUACA
rnacentral:lncRNA from 1 species